UAUACAUGACUCUGCGCAUAUCAAUAAGCGGAGGAAAAGAAACUAACAAGGAUUCCCCUAGUAACGGCGAGUGAAGCGGGAAGAGCUCAAAUUUGAAAUCUUAAAGGGUUUCCCUUUACGAAUUGUAGUUUAAAGAAGUGUUUUCUGUUGAGGUUUUGGUAAAAGUUCUUUGGAAUAGGACAUCAUAGAGGGUGAGAAUCCCGUAUUUGACCUUUACUUUCAACUUUGUGAUACACUUUCAAAGAGUCGGAUUGUUUGGGAAUGCAGUCCAAAAUGGGUGGUAAAUUUCAUCUAAAGCUAAAUAUAUGGCGAGAGACCGAUAGCGAACAAGUACCGUGAGGGAAAGAUGAGAAGAACCUUGAAAAGAGAGUUAAACAGUACGUGAAAUUGUCAAAAGGGAAGCGUUUGACACCAGUGUUGUUUUUCUGAAAAUCAAUUAAAGAACUGUUUAUGCUAAGUUGUUUAGACUUUAUCAGCUAUCUGUUUAGUUUUGAGCUUUUCUUUAAUGCACUUUUCAGUUAACAAGUCAACAUCAAUUUCUUUUGCUGUAAAAAAGCUUGAGGAAGGUGGCUUGAGAUUCGUCUUAAGUGUUUAUAGCCUCUUGCCUAUGCAGUCGGAGAGAUUGAGGUCUGCAGCGUAGAUCCUUCGGGGCUAAAUGCAUUUGUGCUAAGUUAUAGCAUUUUAUAGACAACUUGUUGACUAUGAUUUGUCUUGUAGCUUACUCGCUUAUGUUAUUUUACCUACGCUUAGGAUGUUGACAGCAGUAUAGACUGU
rnacentral:rRNA from 1 species